rnacentral:rRNA from 1 species
AGAACGAACGCUGGCGGCAUGCCUAACACAUGCAAGUCGAACGUGAUCCAGGCUUCGGCCUGGUGAAAGUGGCAGACGGGUGAGUAACGCGUGGGAACCUGCCCUGUGGUAGGGAAUAACCGUGGGAAACUGCGGCUAAUACCCUAUGAGUCCUUCGGGAGAAAGAUUUAUCGCCAUAGGAGGGGCCCGCGUCGGAUUAGGUAGUUGGUGGGGUAACGGCCUACCAAGCCUUCGAUCCGUAGCUGGUCUGAGAGGAUGAUCAGCCACACUGGGACUGAGAUACGGCCCAGACUCCUACGGGAGGCAGCAGUGGGGAAUAUUGGACAAUGGGGGCAACCCUGAUCCAGCAAUGCCGCGUGGAUGAUGAAGGCCUUCGGGUUGUAAAGUCCUUUCGGCGGGGAAGAUGAUGACGGUACCGCAGAAGAGCCCCGGCUAACUUCGUGCCAGCAGCCGC